rnacentral:rRNA from 1 species
UACGUAGGGUGCGAGCGUUAAUCGGAAUUACUGGGCGUAAAGCGUGCGUAGGCGGUUUCUGAAGUCCGCUGUGAAAGCCCCGGGCUUAACCUGGGAAUGGCAGUGGAAACUAGGGGACUUGAAUCUGGCAGAGGGGGGUGGAAUGCCGCGUGUAGCAGUGAAAUGCGUAGAGAUGCGGCGGAACACCGAUGGCGAAGGCAGCCCCCUGGGCUGAGAUUGACGCUGAGGCACGAAAGCGUGGGGAGCAAACAGG